ACUUAAUACACACACAAAAGCAAGCCCUCUCCUCUAAAUCUUCAAUGGAGGAACCAAGUUCAGCCUCAGAAGAUCAAGUUGUAUCACCUACUUUCAGCCCUCUUGUCAUAUGUGUUGCAGAAGCGUCUAAGUUUGCUAACUUUUGAAUCUGGAAGCUUUACAUUGCCUGAGAAGUCAUCAUAUCACUAUAUGUAUGCAAUACACUAAACUAUAUCAUGCAAACUUGGAUGCAGGAUUGCUAUCUGCUUUGGUUGAAUCAGUCUUCUCUGAGAGACUUGGUGAUUGUUGUUGCGUAGUAAAUGGUUCUGGGAAUUUCAUGGAGCAUUUCACACCAACAAACUCAACAAACUUGCAUUAUUUCUACUGCUAGAAAAGCUAGGCCUAUUGAUAGUUCUUUUGCAAGUAUUCUUGAUGAUGUUAAACGACUUUUAAGGACUGGGGAUAGUGGCAAUAAUGCUGGCAUAACCUGGGCAUUUUCUUCCUCAAUUAUUUGCAUGUUGCCUGAUGAGAUACUGAAAUUUUUUCCGUCAGUUAUGACUAUUUCCCACAACCUUCUUGGAGUUUCUAUCUCAGUCUUAUCAUCAGUAUUCUUUCUUGAACAAAGCCUUCUUGCCAGCAUUUCUCAGUUAUGGCCUGACAUGAUCAUCCCUGGUAUGGAAACGACUCUUCUGUUGUUCAUUGUGAAGUCAGAAGAGAUGAUGCCAGUGCAGUUUCUGGUUAUUCUUUGGAUUCUCAGGAAUCUAUUUACAGUGGAUAUCUUGAUGCAAGUGAAUCUGCUGGUGCUGCAUUUAGUUUAUUUUUGAAGCAGCCACCUUUCCAUGUGCCAUUUCCUACAAUUAUGAUUAUGAACAUCGUUGGUCCUUGAUUGUUGGAGCCCUUGAAGACACAAGACAUGCUUCUGGCUAAACUAUCUUACUCAAAAACUGAUUGCUAUCUUACUGCUAUUUUGGAUCCAUUGACUACAAUCAUCUUAUAGAAUUAAACCAUUAUUUGAACUCCAAUGACUUGGAGAGAUUUGCUUCAAUCUCGUAAAGAACUUUUUAGUUCAACUAUUGGUUUUGAAAACUGAUUGUGCUUGUUCCAGAAAUUCUGGGGUUCCUUUCUCAAGACUAGAUACUCAAAAAUUGGUUCAAUCUAUCUUCUGUCACCCUGUACUGGUAGCAUUAUUAUCCUGUUCUUCGGAUUGUAAAGAAGUGUUUUUUAUUUUUUAUUUUAUGAAUGAUUGUAAAGAAGAGUUAGCAAAUGGAGAUGUACUGGGUACUUUGGAUAUGCUGAUUAGUUUAUCCAGGCAGAGAGUUCAUAAAUUGGAUCAUCAUUUUUCAAGAUAUUAACAACUUCUGAAUACUUGUUGACAUUAUGCAAUGUCCAAUAUUUUGUCCCAAAGAUAAUAAAAGUGCUAAUAUGCAACUUGUGAGGGCUUUUAAUGCCCUGGACCGAGGCUAUCUCUGAAAGCUAGGUAAAAGUUUGAUCUGUGCAUUUGUUCUAAGCCAGGGAAAAGCCCUCACUAGUGCUUUACAUGCUCUCCUAUUGGUUUACAUCCCCUUUUGAACUUCUUGAAUUAGCACAAUGGAUGUUUAAUAGGGUUGAGAUUGAUGAUUUGACAGUUUGCAAAACAUCAAAGAUAUCUACUCCCUUUGUUGGGUUUUGUGUUUGCUGCUAGUGCUUUCAAAACUCUGGCUGGUUAUUUGGACCAGUUGGAUACGAAGAGAGUACCUUACAAUUUGUUGUGGGAAAUAGAAGAAGUGAAUAUCAACAUCAACAUAAUUGAGGCGAUCUAUUUUAAAGUAGUUAUGUUUGCAUUGCAUUUUGAUUCAGAUUUUCCAAAUAUAUGCUUUCUGGAAGCUGAUAAUGUUGGUUACAAACAGAAAUACAUGCAACAACAUAGUAUUCAUCCAAUAAGUUUACUAAUGUCGAGGUUUAUAAUGUUUACUCCUUUGGAAGUUCUUUCUCACUGCAUUUACAAGACAAGCAAGACUAAAUCUAUAUUAUUUUUUCUUCUUACUGAGACAAGCUCCCUACAUUUUCAACCUUUGGGCACUUUUAUUUUUGGGUAUUCUGAACAAGGAUUUGCCUCACAAGGGCAACUUGAUGGAAGAAAACUGUGGCCUUAUUCUUUCUGAUGAGGACUUUAUGAUGCUUCUGCCUGCUGUGUUGUCUUCUCUGAACUCAAUUCUGGAUCAGCACCAUAGUCUUUUUGGAAUCACACCACCUUUAAAUUCAAGGAUUCUUUUGAAUGGUUUCCUUCACUGGGGGAGCUUUGUCUCUAAGGAUAUAUUAGAGGAAGAAUCUGCCAUCAUCUACCAAGAACCUUUCUGUCUUGUUGAUGGUUGUCUCCUAGGAAAAUCUAUUCAUAUGUUGCAGUAUCACUUUUCCUUCAGUGGAGUUCCAAUGAAAUUGAAGAAGCAAUUGAAGCCAUUUGAUAAAUAUUCUCACAAUCUACUUCACACAAUGAUCUGUUAGAUUGUGAUAUUGGUCGGAUGGAUUCUCAUUCACUUAAUUAGUCAUUAAACCAUAUAAAUAGAGUUGUUGCAAAGAUGUCUUUUGGUAAGAUUUUAUUAUUUCUGGAAAAUAAUCAGAUUCAUACUCUGCCAAAGGAAGCAGAUGGUGACGUGAAGGAAGUUCCUUUCGAAAUGGGAUCAAAUUUAGACUUAUCAAGAAUGUGGUUUACAAACAAUCUGGUCAGUGGUUGGCAAUUGGCGGUUAACAAAUUCCCUUUAGUCACUAAUAGUUCUGCAAGGAGAGAGACCAUAGAUGGUUCUAACCCUUUAUAAAUGGAAGUCUUCAUACUGAACAGUAUUUUUAAAAUAAUCACAGUGAUGCAUGAUGGACUAGCAAUUGACCAGAUCAGCUCUUUUAUAUAGGUCUGAGGAUCCCACAACUCUGACAAGAGUCUGUGGCAUCCUAAUGUUGCUGUCUGAUGGAAUGUUUUCAUGUGCCCCAUACCUUCAGCUGCUGCUUGCCCACUCUCAGUCUGCAUUCUUUCAGUCUCCAAAGCAUCUGGUUGUUCUCCUAUUGGUGUAUUAAAGAUCAAUUGUUAUCCCUUCCACUAAAGAAGAUGCAUUCAGUGGCUAGCACAAUUUGGAAACAACUGAACUGUACACAAAGCAGAUUGAAGUUAUUAAACUAUUCAGCAUACCCUUUCCAGUCAAGGCUCUUCAAUGUGGUUUUGAUUCUAGACAAGAUUUGGGCAUAAAUUUAAGAGAAUUGCAUUUACUGCUUUUGUCUUCUUUAUGGUUAUACAAUUUUAUGCAUGAAAUUGAGUCUAUAAAUGGAUCAGACUCUGUGACUAUUGCUGAAAUGGAUUACUUAUGGGGAAGUGCUGCUUUAAAAGCUAAAAAAGAAUGAGCUGUGGAGCUAUCUUUGGGUAUUAUGACAGACGCUGAAGCAGCUGAACAUUGGAAAAGUCAAUUUAGAGAAAACUAUUCAAUUGACUGAAAAAUGUGUGCAUCAACAGUGCUUUAUUUUCCUUAUGAUGCUACCUCAUGUGAUGAACCAUUAUCCUGGAACAUGUUUCAACCAUUAUGCUGCCAUAAUCCCAUUUUGGUGAGCAGCUUUUGGGUGAUUCGGGGCUUGACUUUUA